ACUCAUUUGUUAUUUCUCAGUACAAUCUAUUUUUUCUCUAACAUAGGUCCUGUGUAUGCAAACAAUUAUUUUGUAGGUACCAAUAUCAUUAUUAGCUCAUGUGAGGAAAUUUUGUAUGGCACAGAAUCACAGCAGGAUUUAGCUGUGAUGUUCAUGACCAUGUGUCACGACCCAGGCUGCAGAGCACCAAUAACCAUACACAGAGGCCAGAAUCUAUCUAAUAUCUUUAUUAAGGAAAUAUGUAAAGUCAAUAAAAAUAAGUGUAGAAUAUAGUUCAGAAGAAGACCUUUCAGGAAAGGUCAAUUAUAGUCCAGGAAAACAAUGUCCAAUAUAAAAUAUUAAGGUCCAAAGUUGUAAUCCAAUAACCGAAACACUCACUUUGCCAAGCAAAGUGAGGGGAGAUGACAAGGUUCUUAGUCCAAAGAACUUGAUGUAAGGCUAGAAAGUAAACUUGAUUCUUGAAACACAAGGCUUGAUACAAGGCAACAAGGAACGAGGAACAGGGACAAAAUCCGUGGUAAAUACUUGGCAAGGUCCUGGAAAGCAAGGCUGAGUCCUAGGAAGCAAGGCAAGGUCCGUGGAGCAAAACAAGGCUGGAAACGGGAACGAAGGCUUGGAAACAGGGACGAAGGCUUGGAAGCGGGAGUAGCGCUGUCCACACACAACCUACUCCAGUUGCUGACGAAUUGACUCCGCAAAAUUCCUUCAGGGCAAAGAACCUAAAUAGGGUCUCGUUUUCCCACCAAAGAACACUUCUCUGGGGAACCAGAACCGAAAGUCAAUCUCGGUGUCCAGAUGCAUGACUCCCUAAAAUUUCUCAUGAAACAGUGGAAAACCCAAGUUUUCCUCUUCAUCUGUCACAACAGCGCUAGGAACGGGACUACAUGGCCCAUGAGUCAUCACACUAUCCCCCUCCUCAAGCCCCCUCCCAAAAUAGGGCUCUCUCCCCGAGGCGCGAGGCCGCGGCUUGGCAGGGUAGGUCUGAUGGAAGCGGCGGGUUAGAUCGGGGGCAUGGACUGUGGAAGCGUCUUCCCAAGAGCGUCCUUCGGGACCAAAACCCACCCAGUCAAUGAGAUAUUGAAGGCGGCGGCGGUGAAAGUGAGAAUCCAAAAUGUCCUGAACCUCGAAUUCCUCCUCCCCAUCCACUAAAACAGGAGUGGGGGCCGGCCGGUCUGCAUCAGGGCGCACACCAUCCGCCGGAAGGAGCAAGGAGCGAUGAAACACUGGAUGAAUGCGCAUAGAGCGCGGAAGUUGGAGUUUGAAAGUCACGGGGUUUAGUUGCACCACCACUGGAUAGGGACCAAUGAAACGGGCAUCUAGCUUCCGGCAGGGACGGUGGGAGGGCAAAAAGCGAGUGGACAGCAGAACCCGAUCUCCUACCUUGAUUUCGGGGCCCGGCUGGCGAUGACUGUCAGCGUGGCGUUUAUAGUCCUCCUUGGCUUGAUCCAGUUGUUGGAGCAAACGUUGUUGCACCGCUGUGAGUUCUUGCAGCCAGUCCUCUGCUGCGGGGACUUCUGAGGUUUCAAUGACAGAGGGAAAGAAACGUGGAUGGAAGCCAUAGUUUGCAAAGAACGGGGUUUCUUUAAUUGAAGCCUGGACACCAUUGUUGUAGGCAAACUCCGAUAGCGGCAACAGGGAAGCCCAAUUGUCCUGCUGAUAGUUUACAUAACAGCGAAGGUACUGCUCCAAGGUGGCAUUGGUGCGCUCAGUUUGCCCAUCCGUUUGGGGAUGGUGAGCCGAAGAUAAACGAGAGUCUAUGCCCAAUAGUUUUUGUAGUGCUUUCCAGAAACGAGAGGUGAAUUGAGACCCACAGUCUGUGACCAAACUCUUGGGCAAACCAUGUAAUCUGAAAACAUGUUGAAGGAAUAGAUCUGCAGUCUCUUUGGCCG
rnacentral:lncRNA from 1 species